rnacentral:hammerhead_ribozyme from 1 species
GUACUGCUGAGGAGUUCCACAAUAAGACGAAACGGCCGUCCAGUGC